UACGUAGGGGGCUAGCGUUGUCCGGAUUUAUUGGGCGUAAAGAGCGCGUAGGCGGCCGAGUAAGUCCGACGUGAAAUCUGGAGGCUCAACCUCCAGCGGUCGUUGGAAACUACUCGGCUAGAGUCCGGAAGAGGAGAGUGGAAUUCCUGGUGUAGCGGUGAAAUGCGCAGAUAUCGAGAGGAACACCGGCGGCGAAGGCGGCCAACUGGACGAGUACUGACGCUGAGACACGAAAGCGUGGGGAGCAAACAGG
rnacentral:rRNA from 1 species